rnacentral:misc_RNA from 1 species
CUCCCGCCAUUUUUCUCUGUUCUCCUAGCAGUCCUUCACUCCUCACAAACCCCUCACUCUUUCUCGACUAAUUCUCUUCCUUCCAUCUCUUCCCUCCUUUUGAUGCUCGCUCCCCGUUCAUGCUCUUCUCUGCUAUUCAUUUCCUUUUCUCAUCGCUCCAAUUCUUUCUCUUCUCUCCUUUUCUGCUUUCCCUUCUCUAAAUCUUCCUUUCUUCCUAAUCCUCCUCAUCUCUUUGUCAAAUUGAGUCCUCAGUCCACAAUGUCUUCUCGCCCAUCCGCUUUCGACACCCUCAUGUCAAAUGCGCGCGCCGCCGCCAAAAAAAAAUCACAGUCACAAUCCUCCCCACCCAAGAAACGCAAAAGCCCUGAUUCCCGAAACCCUACUAAAACCCUCAGUUCCGUUGAAGCAGAAGCUCCGUCGAAUCCCCCUAUCCCUGAUUCAAAAGUUUCUCAAGAUGAAACAAACAAGUCCAAAGUAGACAAAAAAAUGGUAAAUAAGCCCCAAAUCCCUGGCUCGGAAAACCCUAGUUUAUCUUUCGUUAAAUUGGGUCAAGAAAGAGUUAUUAAUAGCAAGAAACAACGUGUGGAAAUUGCGGACUUGAAGAGUAAGAUUGAGUCAUUGAAGAAGAGUCCCGGGGAUUUUGACCCCAAAAAAGUGUUGUCUUGGGAGAAGGGCGAGAGGGUUCCUUUUAUAUUUGUCUGUUUGGGUUUUGAGUUGAUUGAAAAAGAGAGCGGGAGGAUUUUGAUCACUAAUAUGGUGUGCAAUAUGUUGAGAACUGUAAUGGAUACGACGCCUGACGAUUUGCUAGCAUUGGUAUAUCUUUUGGCUAACAAGGUUGCGCCUGCGCAUGAGGGAGUGGAGCUGGGAAUUGGAGAAUCAAUCAUUAUCAAAGCACUUGCUGAGGCGUUUGGGAGGACUGAGAAGCAAGUCAAGAAGCAAUUAGAGGGAACGGGAGAUUUAGGACUUGUUGCUCAAGCAAGCCGCUCAUCACAAUCUAUGAUGCGCAAGCCUGAUGCGUUAACGAUUGCCAAAGUUUUCAAUACAUUUCGGCUGAUUGCCAAGGAAUCUGGGAAGGAUAGUCAAGAUAAGAAAAAGAACCAUAUCAAGGCACUUCUUGUUGCAGCCACUGACUGUGAACCUCUAUAUCUAAUUCGUCUGCUUCAGGGAAAGCUGCGAAUUAGUUUGGCAGGACAGACUCUUUUGGCUGCACUGGGACAAGCUGCUGUAUAUACUGAAAAAAAUUGCACUCCACCUUCACACAUCCAGUCUCCUUUAGAUGAGGCUGCAAAGAUUGUUAAACAAGUCUACUCUGUACUUCCUGUGUAUGAUAAAAUAGUCCCUGCUCUUCUUAGUGAUGGUGUAUGGAAUCUUCCCAAGUCAUGUAGCUUUACGCCUGGUGUCCCCAUUGGACCAAUGCUUGCAAAGUCAAUCAAAAAGGUUUCUGAGAUAGCAGAUAAGUUCCAGAAUAUGGACUUCACUUGUGAAUACAAGUAUGAUGGAGAGCGUGCCCAGAUACAUUACCUGGAGAAUGGUUCAGUCGAGAUAUACAGUCGAAACGCUGAGCGGAAUACUGGAAAAUAUCCAGAUGUUAUAGUUACGAUUUCAAGAUUAAAGAAGGGACCUGUAAAAUCAUUUGUUUUGGACUGUGAAAUAGUUGCUUACAACCGAGAGGAAAAACAAAUUCUGCCCUUUCAGAUCCUUAGUAGUCGGCCCCGCAAAAAUGUUGUGAUGAGUGACAUCAAGGUUAAUGUUUGCAUAUUUGCAUUUGAUAUGUUGUAUCUUAAUGGCGAACCACUUAUUCAGAAACAAUUAGAAGUUCGUAGACAGCGGCUUUAUGACUCAUUUGAGGAAGACCCUGGAUAUUUUCAGUUUGCAACAGCUGUAACAUCAAAUGAUCUUGAGGAAAUUCAAACGUUCCUUGGUGCUGCUGUUGAUGCUAGGUUGUGAUCUCAUGCUUUGGGCUCUUUUCAGCAGGCAACAAGCACGUUUUAGGAUAUGCUCACUAUUAGCAUGUUGAUGAUUUCCUGUUGCAUUUACAUCUCGUUUAUGUUAUUCUAUAUUGGUUAGGUAUCAAGUUUGGUAUGGCCAUAUAUAUCGUCUACGUAUCUGCUUCAUAGCUUAAGUUUUUUGAAAUCAAAAACUCAUCUCUUUGUCCAAGCUUACGGGGUAUUCUAUCUUUGUUCAGUAUAUGUGCGCUUGUGUGUUUGUGUUUGAAGGUUUCUUGAUGAAAUGACUAUACAUUGCUGCAUGUAUCCAUUUUUCAUUGAAAGAUGGUAUUUCUUGCACAAAGUCGGCAUAGAGUUGAUGCUUGCUGUUUUUUUAGUCAUUGAUUCAUCUUAGUGUGCAGUUGUGAGGGUUUAAUCAUCAAAACAUUGAACAAAGAUGCCACAUAUGAGCCUUCCAAGCGAUCGCUGAACUGGCUAAAAUUGAAGAAAGAUUACAUGGACAACAUUGGGGACUCGCUGGAUCUUGUACCUAUUGCUGCUUUCCAUGGUCGUGGGAAACGUGCAGGUGUCUAUGGUGCUUUUCUUCUCGCUUGUUACGACAAAGAUAAUGAAGAGUACCAAAGCAUAUGUAAAAUAGGAACUGGAUUUUCUGAGCAAGUGCUUGAAG